rnacentral:lncRNA from 1 species
AGGGAGACGCAGGGCCCUACACUGCCAGCACCAGUUGUGGACGUUGCACCGAGAGCGCCGUCCCCCGCGCCCAGUUCUUCGCGUGCGGCGCCUGCGGCCGUACCCCAGGAGGAGGUUUUGGCGGCACCACCUGUGCAGAGGCCUCCGGUUGGAGCUGCUUUUCCUACUUUGGUUGAGGAGGCGGAGCGAGACAGAUUGAUGGAGCGCCUCAAUGAGUUCAGGAGGUGCAGCCCCCGAGUCUUCGAUGGCGAGAAGGUCGACCAUUGGAUCGUGGAUAAGUGGUUGAUGCAUAUGGAGAAACUCUUCCACGACACCUUCGUGUAGGAGAGGAAUCGAGUUUGGCUCGCCACCCACCACUUGGAUGGCGAGGCCUACCGCUGGUGGUUGGAUCUUCAGGAGCACCCCAGCACUGACUUGGCGAAUAUCACUUGGACGAGGUUCGAGGAGCUUCUUUUGGCGCAUUACUUCCCGACCAGUGUCAAGAGGAAGAUGGAGCAGGAUUUGCGCAGCUUGCGCCAGGGUGACAGGACCGUAGCCGAUUACGAGAGGGAGUUUUCUCGGCUUCUCCAUUGCGUGCCUUUCGUCGUGUGGGACGACGAGGAUAAGGCCCGCAUCUUCGAGCGAGGAUUGAGACCGUCUAUCUUUCGGUUUGUGCAAUCCUCUAACCUCCAAACCUACCGGGAGGUGGUGGAUCGCGCGCUCAUUGUGGAGAGCGGCGCGGCGGAUGUCCAAGAGCAGCGAGAGGCUAGAGACAAAGGGAAGGCCAAGAGGCCUGCGGCUGAGGGUGCGGGCCAGACGCACUCUAGGAGACCGUCGAAGCAUCCGAGGAGCCAGCAGCGUGGGCGUGGCUCGGCAAUUCACCGUAGAGGUUUUGACCGACGCCGACCUCCCUAGUGCGUGAUCUGCGGUAGUCCACACAUUCCACCGCAGUGCCCGCAGCGGGGAGGGAGGUGUUUCCAGUGUGGCCAGGAGGGCCACUUUCGGACCGAGUGCCCGAGGGGAUCUUCACCGGCACCGUCGACUGUAUCGGCACCGGCUCUACCAGCCGCCAGCCAGGGGACUCCAUCGACACAGUACCAGCUUGGGCGUCCACCCGUCCAGCGCCAGGGCGAGGGAUCUCGACAGGCCCCGAGUGGGCGUAUGUAUGCCGCUCAGACCGAGGAGGCGGCAGCAGCCGAGGAUGUGGUUGCAAGUAUCAUUUUACUUGAUGGCAUUAGAGUUCGUGCUUUAUUUUAUACCGGUGCAUCGCAUUCAUUCAUUGAUCGGCUGUUUUCCGAGUUGCAUGGCAUCCCAUUGGUUUCCUUACUGCAUCCGAAAUAUGUUGUUGUACCCGACCACAUCUUGGACAUUACAGAGUAUAGCCCGAGUUGCCCUGUUCGGGUAGGAGACUGGAUUAUGCUUGUAGAUUUGCUAGCUUUGUGCAAGCUUGGGGAUUUUGAUGUGGUCUUAGGCAUGGAUUGGUUGACCAAGUGUUAUGCCACGAUUGAUUGCAAGAAUCGCACGGUUACUUUUAGAGAACCGGGGCAGACGGAGGUGGUAUUUAGUGGAUGUCGGAGUUCGCUGUUUGCGAUGAUGAUCAGCUCAUCUCGAGCUAGGCAGCUGAUCAACAGAGGUUGUAUAGCCUACCUGGCUAGUGUCGUGCUGAGGGGCGAGGAUGACACCCCUAGGAUCGAGGAUAUUCCGGUGGUGCGUGAGUUCCAGGAUGUGUUUCCAGCUGAGCUACCAGGUAUGCCUCCUGAUAGGGAGAUUGAGUUUGUGGUAGAUCUCGUCCCUGGGACUACCCCAAUCUCAAACGCACCCUAUAGGAUGGCACCGGCGGAGCUGAGGGAGCUGAGGGCACAGUUGCAGGAUUUGUUGGACAAAGGCUUCAUUCGACCGAGCGUUUCACUUUGGGGAGCACCCGUUUUGUUCGUCAAGAAAAAGGAUGGAUCACUUCGCCUUUGUGUGGAUUAUCUUGAACUUAAUAAGGUCACGAUCAAGAAUAAGUGUCCGUUGCCGAGGAUCGACGACUUGUUUGAUCAGCUUCAGGGAUCGUGUGUGUAUUCCAAGAUAGACUUGCAGUCUGGGUACCACCAGUUAAAGAUUAAUCCCGAGGACGUUUUAAAGAUGGCUUUCAGGACACGGUAUGGACAUUACAAGUUCACAGUUAUGCCGUUCGGGCUUACUAAUGUCCCGACCACUUUUAUGGAUUUAAUGAACCGUGUUUUUAAGCCUUAUCUAGACAGGUUCGUCAUGGUAUUCAUCGACGACAUCUUGGUUUAUUUCCGGAGUGAUACAGAUCACGAGGAGCAUUUGAGGAUUGUGCUCCAAGUACUUCGGGAAAAGGAGCUCUAUGCCAAGUUGAAGAAAUGUGAAUUUUGGCUUCGAGAGGUAGCCUUCCUUAGACAUUUGAUUUCUGGAUCGGGCAUAGCCGUGGAUCCUAAGAAGAUUGAAGCAAUCAAUUGGCCGAGACCGACGAGCGUCACGGAGAUACGGAGUUUCCUUAGAUUGGCCGGUUACUACCGGAGAUUUGUCGAGGGAUUUGCAAGGUUAUUUACUCCCCUCACGAGGCUCACGCAUAAAGGUGUUAGGUUCAUUUGGAAUGAUGCGUGCGAGAGAAGCUUCCAAGAGUUGAAGCAACGAUUGACUACCGCCCCGAUCUUGACCCUACCAGUAGCUGGAGCAGGGUAUGUGGUUUAUAGUGAUGCUUCACUUAAUGGUUUGGACUGUGUAUUGAUGCAGGAUGGCAAGGUGAUCGCGUAUGCUUCUCGCCAAUUGAAGGAGUAUGAAAAGAACUACCCUACUCAUGAUUUGGAGUUGGCGGCUGUAGUGUUCGCAUUGAAGCUAUCGCGCCACUAUCUUUAUGGCGAGCGGUGUGAAGUGUAUACGGAUCACAAGAGCCUAAAGUACCUGUUUACUCAGAAGGAGUUGAACUUGAGGCAGUGCCGAUGGUUGGAGCUACUCAAGGAUUAUGAUCUGACGAUCCUUUACCACCCGGGCAAGGCUAACGUGGUGGCGGAUGCGCUAAGUAGGAAAUUGAUGGAAAACAUAGCGAUGCAUGUUGUGACUCAACCGCAGUUGAUCGAGCAGAUGAAGCGGUUGGAGUUGGAGGUGGUGACCCCUGACACACCCUUGAGGUUGAUGACCUUAGUAUUGCAACCUACAUUGCUGGAUAGAAUUAAAGAAAAGCAAGUCUCCAAUUUGGGAUUGCAAAAGAUUAGAGGAAAAAUGGUUGAUGGUUGCACCGGCGAUUUCCUUAUGGACGACCGAGGGUUGAUGCGCUUUCGAGGACGACUAUGUGUUCCGGCGGAUUCGGGAAUUAAAGAAAACAUUCUUCAAGAAGCGCACCGGGCACCCUAUGCUAUACAUCCGGGUGGCACUAAAAUGUAUAAGGACUUAAAGUUGCUCUAUUGGUGGCCUGGGAUGAAAAAGGAUGUUGGCGAGUUUGUCGCUAAAUGCUUAACUUGCCAACAAGUGAAGGCAGAGCACCGAGUUCCCGCGUGAAAGCUUCAGAGUUUGCCUAUUCCAGUCUGGAAGUGGGAGAAGAUCACCAUGGACUUCGUGACAGGAUUGCCUCGCUCUCAGGCUGGGCAUGAUGCUAUUUGGGUGAUCGUGGAUAGGUUGACGAAAUCGGCGCACUUCGUGCCUAUUCAUACUACUUGGACCGGAGAGAAGCUCGCACAAGUGUACCUUGAUGAUAUUGUGCGACUUCACGGAGUGCCUACAUCUAUUGUCUCGGAUCGAGACACCCGCUUUGUGUCUCACUUUUGGAGGAGUCUGCAGGACGCCCUUGGUACUCGAUUGGACUUCAGUACUGUUUUCCACCCGCAGAGUGAUGGACAGUCGGAGCGCACUAUUCAGGCCUUAGAGGAUAUGCUCCGGGCAUGUGUGAUAGACUUCCAGGGGGGAUGGUCGCAGCAUCUACCUAUGCGGAGUUUGCUUAUAACUACAGUUAUCAAGCAAGCAUCAAGAUGGCGCCCUUCGAAGCACUUUAUGGAUGGAAGUGUAGAUCGCCGCUUUAUUGGAGUGAAGUUGGCGAGAGACUGGCCCUAGGCCCUGAUGUGCUCCAGGAAGCUGAGGAUAAAGUUCGCAUCGCUCGGGAGCGACUUUUGUCGGCGCAGAGUAGACAUAGGAGCUACGCCGAUCGACGGCGGCGAGACUUGGAGUUUCAAGUUGGAGACCAUGUUUUCUUAAAGGUCUCGCCGACUAGAGGAAUAAAGAGAUUUGGGAUUCGGGGAAAGUUGAGUCCCCGUUUCAUUGGACCGUAUGAGAUUUUGGAGCGUGUAGGCCCGGUUGCGUAUAGACUUGCUCUACCACCGAACCUAUCGGGUGUACACGAUGUCUUUCAUGUAUCGGUCCUCCGGAAGUACAUUCACGAUCCAGCUCACGUCUUGGAUGCUAUACCAGUGGAGCUGCAUGAGGAUUUGAGCUUCAAGGAGCAACCUGUGAAGAUUCUAACUCGCGAAGUGAAGAAGCUGCAGAAUCGGGACAUUCUGUAUGUGAAGGUUCUUUGGAGCAACCACAGGGAGCGAGAGGCUACGUGGGAGCUGGAGAGCGCUUUGCAAGAGCGCUACCCUCACCUCUUCCAGGUGGAGUCUUGAGGUACGUUGCAUUUUGAGUUUCGCGGACGAAACUCCUUUUUAGGAGGGGUGAAUGUAACACACUGGACCUUUUCAAAUUGCGAGGUUCGAGUGUUUGAUUUGUGUGUCGAGCUUUUUCAGAUUUUCUGGAAGGUCGUAGACAGUGUUCCGACCUAUGGCUCGCAUCCUGAGAAUUGUGGUCUUAAGCUGGUGCCAAAAGCCCAAAAAGAUUGGAUCUUGGUCAGCUCUCGGGUAGCCUGCAGCAGAGCUUGUACUGGAACAAAACUGGUCUUGUACCGGUACAAGGUUGAUGGUUGUACCGGUACAGCCAUCGGGCUUGUACCGGUACAGAGCUGCAGACCCUGCAACCUGAGCCUCGGGUUUGCAUUUUCGUUGGUCUUGUACCGGUACAAGGACCCGUGUACCGGUACAAGGCGGCAGAUUGCGUGCAGUUUGAACUGCAGGGGGCUUUUUGCGUUUGUGGCCUAUCUAUUAGUAACCCCACGCCCCUUAGGGCUUCCCUGAGUGUCCCAGCAGCAGGAGAAGAGGUAGGGGAGUUCUCCACACCCUCCCUCUCUAUUUCUUUGAUCUUGGUUGGUUUAAUUUGUGAUUAAAGCUUCUUUUUCUCCCUCUUUUUGCUUCUUGGUGCUCUCCCUCCAUGGAAGGAGCUUGAGGCUUGGUUUUGGAGCUCGUUUGAGGGGAGAUUUUCAGAUCUUGAGGACUUGGACACUUGUUGGAGGCUUCCAAAGAGGUUAGAAGCUUAGUUUUUCCUUUUGAUCCUUAAAUUAUUGGAUUUCAUGAGUUGAAACCCUAGAAUGUGGACUUAGGGUUUGUUUUUGGGGGUUUUGGAUUUGGGGCUCCUUGAUCUAAAUUGAUGGAUUUAGAACUUUGGUUUAGGUUGGAUUUGAAGGGUUUUCACUCUCAUUUGGAGAUUGAGAGAAGAUUUACCUUACAAGGUGAGUUUUUGCCUGUUUUGUAUGGUUAAAUGUUUACUAGGAGUUGUUCACCCGAUGGUGUAAUCUUCAUUUCAAUCCUAGGGCUUUAGGAGAUAGAGGACACCCUGUUGGAGCAACGAGGAUUUCGUUAUCUCGGUGGGUUUAGCUUCGUGGAAAGGGGGCGAAAUGGCCCUAUACUCUUUUACUUGUUGUAAUAUUUUUAAAGUUUUUCUAUGCUAAAUGAAUUUAUAUAAAUUUUAGGCACUUAAAUGCAUGCCUUGUGUAUAUUAUGAAUUUCCCUAUAUUAUUAGUGUAUAUGAGUAGAAUGCAUUGCUACGUGACAAGUGUUUCGUUGCAAGUGGGAAAGUACAUUCUUAUGAGGAUAUAUGACUGGGAAUAUGUACUCUGGACAUAGUUGCAUGCUUUGACUUACUGAGAACAAGAGUGUCAAUCAAGGGGCACUGAAAUAGUAAACUAUGAAAUGCACAUUAGAAUAUUGAAGGCCGCUACAUAUACUGCUAUAUUCCAUGUUAAGAUACUGAUGAAUAGUAGAUAGGCCAUGAGGAUACCUAUGAUAUUCCAUGUUGUUAGACAUGAGGUUGGUACUUGAGACAGAUCAUUGCUUGCUUGCCAUUGUGCUCAUUCCACCUGCUUGUGAGGGUCGCUCCCUACAAGCCGGCACUCCGGAGAUAGCCAUCGCGAAUAUGCGUCGCGUGCGGAUUGGGCGCAAAGUGGAUUGCGUGGGGGAGGCUCAUCCUAGAGUGGGAUGUUGACUACACGGGGCCAUUAGCACGGCGCAGGCCACGCUUCGGGUGGGUUUAUAUGAUUGGGACUUGGUGACAGAAUGCUACGUGACUUUAUAAUGUUAAAGUGGACUUGGACUAGAUUAGUAACACAAUGACUCCUUGUAUUACACUGUGGCUUUGGGUAGAUGCUAAUCAGUGCUUUACAUGUUGGGUGUUCAUGUGCAUAUAGCUUAGUAGUUGCUUUCUUACUUAUGCCAAAUCAUGCUAAGUAGAGAUAUCAUGAUUAUUGGGUAACUCUUUAUGUAUUUAUUCAUGGGCAUUUUGCUUUUGUUAUAUGUGUUACACUGACUCUUUUAUAGUUUGGGCCUGUGGUGCAUUUACUGAAGUCAGAAUUGCCAUGGAAACUAUUAUUUAAUAGUUCUCACGCCCCUGUUUCUAUGUUUCUUUUUCAGAGCCUUCGGCACCGGCGGAGGCACGGGAUCGCGGCAAGGGUGUCGUGUAGCUAGCUCGCAGAGAGUUCCUUUGCGCUAGGUGGUUACUCCUCCAUUUCAUAUUUUGAGAGAGAGGAAGAGGUUUUGUACCAUGUAUAGAGAGACCACCUUGUACUUCACUUAGCACUUGUUAUGGGAUCCCUAUUGUACUUACUCUAUGUUUUUAUUUAGUGGACUUUCAGCUUUAUGUCCUUUUCUUGUUAUAGAACUAGUUAUACAAUGCUCUGAUAUCACUAGAUCUCUUGUAUUAUUGUUUUAUCUAUCGAAAUUUUUGUAGACGCCUUAUAUGUUUUAGACGUAUGGCGGGUCUGGACACGCGCCGGGUAGGCUUCCGCUGAGCCCCGGGGCGUGACACUAUAUGAGCAUGUGGCUCUCUAUCUUUCCCUCAUUUUCACCCAACCUAAAUCUAAAACCUUCCUCUCUCUCUCUAGGAUCUCUUCUCUCUCUCUCUCUCAGGGUGGAAGGAGAAGAAGGAGUUGGGGGAAAGCUUGGAAGAGUGAAGUUCUCUUCUUCGUCUUUUUCCUCAAGUGGAGAAGGAGCGUCUUGAGCUAAGCUCUUGAGCUUGUUAAUGGUAUAUAUCUAGGGUUUGGGUGUUUGAACUCUAGAAUAGUUUGGAUUGAACCCUAGGUUGCUAGUGUAGUACUAGAUGCAAGAAUCUAGGGGGUUAUUGCGGCACGUUUGCGCCGUAGUUGCGAGCUAGGGCUCCGUGAGGGUUUUUGUGAAAAGUUAGGGUUUGAUCUCAAUUAACCCUAUAUAAAUGUAAUUGUUAGGCCUACGAUUCCAUCGGCGUAGUCGGUUUGCUGAUUCGCCGAGCGAGCGCGGAGUUAUUGGCGAAAAGGACCUUCCGACAUUCGUUUCCGCCUGAAGGGCCGAGGCGGCGUCCGUAAAUCGCGGGAUCGGAUUCCGAGUAUCGUAACAAGAAAUCGAAGACCAUUAAUUUUCGGAUCGCGGAUCAGGGGUCGUUCGGUGGUCGCGCGUGAAUUGGGUCGAGCCGAGCGGCGUACGUCGCGGGAGGCCGAUUGCGAGUGACGACGAGCAAUCAGAACGCUAUAAAAGGUGGGUGGUGUCCAUCCCGAAGCAGUUGAGCUGCUCCUUAUGUCUAAGUGUUAUUGUUCAUCUAUUGCAUAUUGAUAGGAUGAAUAAUAGGGUAUGAAUGGGCGCAAUUCCUUUACUUGCAUGUCUUUGAUAGUGUAGCGAGGUGAGCUUGAUACUAGUGUUAGAAUGCAUGUGUAAAGGUGAAUUGUGAUAUAGAAACCCUAGUGUAAAUGACAAUGUGAACUUGUGUUAAUUGGACAAGAGUCAAUGAACGAGUGGCAUCUAAAUAGCAUGAAAACUAUCACGAGUGGCAUGAUGAACUAGAGUGUAGGUGAAACACUAUUGCAUGAUAAACCUAGUGAUGACUAGUUCUCGAGAGAUGUUGGCCCUAGUGGAUAGGGUAUCCUCUGUUGACGAGGAUUGGACUACACUCACAUGUCUGUUUUGUGCUUGUUGGCGGUCGCUCCGCACAAGCCGUGCGCUCCGGAGUUUUGUCACACGAGGGGUGAGCCUUAUAGGGCCCCGCAGACGGUCUUGGAUGAGUGAGUGUGGAUCCUCACCUAUGAGAUGUUAGUGAGUCGGGUGAGUGAGUAGUUCUCGCCCCGAGCGAGCGGAUCCUGUCCUGCGAGAUUGAGAUUGGGUUGUAUGACAGCUACAGCAGCAUGUUUUCCUUGACAUAGUAGCAUGACAGUGACCUCUGUACUAUGUAGGAUUCAUUCAUUCAUAUUUGGAUUAAGGCAUAUAGCAUGAUAUCUGUUAUUGCUUUCGUUUAUAUAUAUAUCUAUCUAUCUAUCUGCGUAUGUGUAACACACUAGACCUGUGCAAAUUGCGAGGUUUGAGUGUUUGAUGUGGACUCCGAACUUUUCACACUUGGUGGAAGGUCGUAGAUGGUAUUCCGACCUAAAAGUUUGAUUUAUGGAGUUUUGGCAAGUCCUGAGAGUUUUCAGUCUCGGGGAUCGGUCCCUGGUAGGAGAGACCGAUCCCCUCGGAACAGUAUUGCGGCAGGACUUGAGGCAACUGGUCCCUGGCGGAUGAGACUGGUCCCCGAGCGCGACUAUGCGGGGAGAGACCGGUCCCAUCCGGGCAGAGACCGGUUACCAAACGUUUGUUUUGCGGGACGAACCUGUCGGAUCGUUGGCGCUAACCAUUAAUCCCAAAAGCUCGAGCUGUUAGAAAUACGCAACCAAUUCACUUAAAGCGUACAGUAACAACGCCCACGGGUCUUGAUUGUGACUCGGCCCACCUGGCCUCACGCCACUUCGAAUAUGACUCGGCCCAACCCAGCCUCACGCCAUUUCGAACAUGACUCGGCCCACAUGGGCUCCCGCCACAGGGCAGGAUGCUGGCCUAUUUAAGCCAACAGAACCGAGAGACCGGUCCCAGGCAGGGAGAGAUCGGUCCCUCUGGGCGAAAAUUGCCCAGUUCGGGCAGUGCAAUCGUUGCAAAGUUGAGGGGCUUUUUUGGAUUUUGUUACAAUAGAUGGCCUAUAUGGCCAUUUCACCUCUCUCCCUCAUUCAUUUCACACUCUCCCUUGCACCUUAGAGAGAGAAAGAGAAGGAGAAGAAGAAGGAGAAGGAGAGGAGCUUACUUGGAGGCUUUGGAGCAUCAUCCCCUUCAUCUCAUCCCGACAUUGGUGGCUUGGGGCUCGUGGUUGAAGCUUCGUGGAGGAUCAAACUUCAACCCUUCUUGGUUUAGAGCUUGGUUUGGAGCAUCCUAGAGGUAAGUAACUAGCUUCCUUCCAUUAGAUCCUAGUUUUGAAGCUUUAAACUAGAUGAAACCCUAGAUUUUGGGAUUUAGGGUUUAAUUUGGGGAUUUUCGAUUUGAGGGCUUUGGGACCUAAUUGAUGGGUUUAGAACCUUCCUCUAGGUUGGUUUGGAAGAGUUCUUGCUCUCUUUGGAAGGUUGAGAAGGGAUUUUUUCACAAGCGGUGAGUUAUGCCCUCUAUGCCUAGAUGGUUAAAGAUUGAGCUUUUCGAUGUUCGUUUCGAUUGUGUAACUCUUGUUCCUACAUCUUUAGGGUGCUAGGAGACUAGUGAACACCUCCGUUCGAUGAAACGAAGGGUUUCAAUUUUUGGUGGGUUUGGCUUUAUGAAAAUGGGGCGAAAUGGCCCCCAUGCUUUUAUACUCGUCGUAACGUCAUUUUAAAUGCAAAUCUAUGCUAAAUAAAAUUUAUGUGAAUUUUAGAACACUUAAAAUGCAUGUGUUAUGUGUAAGAUAAUUUUCACUCUAUAUAGUAGAGCAUUCUGGAUAUAUUGUUACAUGCAUAUGAGUAGUGUUCGCACUAGUUGUUUGGAAACAUGCCUCAUAUGUUUAAAGUGGCUCAAUUAUGCAUUUAUGAACAUUUGGUUUAAGCUUGGACUUAGUAAAUGAAAGUGUCAUAAAGGGGCACUUGGACUAGCAAACUAUGAGACUAUUGUAUUAAGACUUAGUGAUAGGCCAUAGACAUCUACUACUUUCCAUGUUUUAGACAUGAUGAUAUAGGGAUAGGCCUAUGAGAGAGUUGUGACGUAUUCCAUGUUGUUAGACAUAAGGACUUGGUACUUGAGACAGAUCUUUUGGUUACUUGCCAUUGUGCUCAUUCGCACAUGCUUGUGAGGGUCGCUCCCUACAAGCCGGCACUCCGGAGAUGGCCAUCGCGAUACAUAUUCGCCGUGCGGGAUUGGGCGCCGAAGUGGAUUGCCGCGGGAAAGGCUCAUUCCUAGAGUGGGGGUGUUGACUACCACGGGGCCAUUAGGCUCGGCACCGGCCAGACAGCCUCCGGGUGGGUCUCAGGGCCAGACAGCCUUCGGGCGGGUCUCUUCAGAUUUGAUUUUGAGCAUUAAUCAUGCCAUGUGGACCUUGAAUAGAAUAGUAAACAAUGACACCUUUACUAUUUGACUUAUGGACAUCAUACUAGCGAUGCUUGGGUACAUGCAAACGAGAAUAGUUUUUCUUACUUAUGCUAAAUCAUGCUAAGUAGAGAUAUCAUGUGGUAGCAAAUAUUCAUGCUUAUUUACUUGUCGUACAUAUCGCUCUUGUUUAUUUCUGCUUACUGACCGCUUUUUAGUUUGGGCCUAGUGGUGCAUUUCAGUGAAGCCAGUAAUUGCCUACUGGGAACUAUUAUUCAAUAGUUCUCACGCCCUCUAUUUUAUGAUUUUAUUUCAGAGCCUUCGGCACCGGCGGAGGCACGGGAUCGCGGCAAGGGAGUCGCAUAGCUAGAUAGCGGAGCUUGCUAUUGCUCCUAGGUGGUCACUCUCUUCCUUUUUAUUUUUUUUUGUGAGAGAGAGAGUUUUGUACCAUGUAUAGAGACCACCUGUGUAUCUCGUUUAGCUUUCGUUUUGGGACUUUUAUUGUAUUACUUUACGUUUCUUCUAGUGGAUGUUAGUUUAUGGUUCUUUUCCUCUACUGUAGCAUCUAGAUAUACUUGCUCUGAUAAUCCUAGAUGUUCUCUUGUACUGCUUCAUUUAUCACUUGAUUUAGACGCCUUGUAUGUUUUAGAGAUAUGGCGGGUCUGGGCAUGCGCCGGGCGGGCUUCCGCUGGAUCCCGGAGCGUGACAGAUUAGUUUGGUAUCAGAGCCUAGGGUUGAGUCUUAGUGGACCUAGCAAACCUUAGGCUGGUUGGACUAUAGGGAAUAGGCUCGUGAGAGACGAGGUCUAUUUGACUUAUAAGUGAAAGUAUCAUGAUUGGGUAUCUUGAUAACUCUAGAAAGUGGAGUUAUAUCGAAGUGUAUAGCUCCUAACUUCGCGGAGGGUUAUGUUGGCGGCCGACAACGUAACAUUGGGAGUUAGUAGUGAAGCACACUUCAUUACUUUCGCAUGAUUCGAGGUAUUAUCUGCUUCAGCGGGGAUACGAUAGCGUGGGUUACUAACUUACGCUUUUAUGAUGUUGUAGUUAUGAUACCGAUUACACGCUCCCAAUCUGCCGUAGCGGAUAACGCGGCUAACCUGGAGGAGGUCGAGACCUCCGCUACCUCCGGAUCCGGCGAGAUCCGAGAGUUGAGGGGCCAGCUUGCGGCCCUCACUGAUAUGGUGGCACAGCAGACUGAGGGGGCGCGCCGACAGGAGGCGCAGAUGAAGCGCUUGGAGGAUCUUCUGCUACAGCAGGCGGCAGCUUCCAGGGAGACCCAGUCCCCUACACCGCCAGCACCAGUCGUGGACGUCGCGCCGAGAGCGCCAUCCCCCGCGCCCAGUUCUUCGCGGGUAGCGCCCGCGGCCGCGCCUCAGGAGGAGGCUAUCGCGGCACCACCUGUGCAGAGGCCCCCGGUUGGAGCAGCUUUCCCUACCUUGGUCGAGGGAGCGGAGCGGGACCUACUCAUGGAGCGCCUCAACGAGUUCAGGAGGUGCAGUCCUCAGAUCUUUGAUGGCGAGAAGGUCGACCACUG